AGUGAACGCUGGCGGUAGGCCUAACACAUGCAAGUCGAACGGCAGCACAGAGGAGCUUGCUCCUUGGGUGGCGAGUGGCGGACGGGGGAGGAAUACAUCGGAAUCUACUCUGUCGUGGGGGAUAACGGAGGGAAACUUACGCUAAUACCGCAUACGACCUACGGGUGAAAGCAGGGGAUCUUCGGACCUUGCGCGAUUGAAUGAGCCGAUGUCGGAUCAGGUAGUUGGCGGGGUAAAGGCACACCAAGGCGACGAUCCGUAGCUGGUCUGAGAGGAUGAUCAGCCACACUGGAACUGAGACACGGUCCAGACUCCUACGGGAGGCAGCAGUGGGGAAUAUUGGACAAUGGGCGCAAGCCUGAUCCAGCCAUACCGCGUGGGUGAAGAAGGCCUUCGGGUUGUAAAGCCCUUUUGUUGGGAAAGAGAUCCAUCUGGUUAAUACCCGGGUGGGAUGACGGUACCCAAAGAAUAAGCACCGGCUAACUUCGUGCCAGCCGCCGCGGUAA
rnacentral:rRNA from 1 species